UUUUUUUUUUUUUUUUUUUUUUUGUCUUCUCUAGGGCCGCCCCUGCAGCAUAUGGAGGUUCCCAGGCUAGGGGUCUAAUUGGAGCUGUAGCUGCCGGCCUACACCACAGCCACAACAACUCAGGAUCCGAGCCGCAUCUGCAACCUACACUGCAGCUCACAUCAAUGCCAGAUCCUUAACCCACUGAGCGAGGCCAAGUAUCGAACCUGCAACCUCAUAGUUCCUAGUCAGAUUUGUUAACCACUGUGCCAUGACGGGAACUCCUACCUAGAUUCAUUUUUGAUUUGCAUGUAGAUAAUGUAGUUGUGUCAGCCCCAUUUCUUGCAUAUUUUUUCAAGAGAUUUUUUUUUAGUUUAUCUUCUCUGUGAGUUCUAAAACUUGUUGAACUUUUAAGUCACAGUGAAAAGGGCAAUGAACCCACAACUGGCAAAGUUACCUCUAUGGUGGUGGAAUACAAGCUUGGAUUAGAAGGUAAGUGCUUACCCCCAAAAAUGGAAUAAAGUACACAAGAGAAGAUACACUUCUUUCUCCCCUGUGUCUGUGGCCUGAGAAUCAGACCUGCUACCCUUUCUUGUGCCCAGUCUUGUACCGUUUAUUGAUUUAUUUAUUUAAUCUUUUUAGGGCUGCCCCUGUAGCAUAUGGAAGUUACUGGGGUUGGGAGCUUACACCACAGCCACGGCAACACCAGAUCUGAGCCGUAUCUCCGACCUACACUGCAGCUUGUAGCAACGCCAAAUCCUUAACCCACUGAUGGAGGCCAGGGAUCAAAAAGCUGCAUCCUCACAGACACUAUUGGGUUCUUAACCUGCCCAGCUGCAGGGGAACUCCCCAUUAUUUAUUUUUGAGACAGAGAUUCCUAAUACCAUGUAACAUCAUGCUUUAAAUCAGCACUAAGUGCCUGUUUCUACAUUUUUUAACUUGGCAAACGAGGUGACUCAUCAGAAAAAAGAUGAGUUCUUUGGGUUUGCUUAAUUUUUUUAACAACAUAAUUGUCAAUCUUUAAGGAGCUCCUAAGCAAAUUCAAACUUUCCUGAUACCAAACAAUGGAUAUACAUACUUAAGUCUCACAUUCUGGACAACGUUUUCUAAUAGUCCAAAUAUUUCAUAAUUUCUUGAUAAAAUAAUCAUCUGUAUGAAGUACUGAUUUUUAUGUCAAUGUUUAAAACACCUUUAAGGUACUUAAGCUCAGUGUGUUUAUCUGCUCAUUUUUAAGGAACUAAUUACUUUUGAGUUUAAAUGAAAAUAGGACAAUAAAAUUAAAACUACAUAGGACCCUUGACCCAUUUUAAAAGCAGCAGUAGUCCAGUAAAUAAAAGCAGGCGUUGUAAAUACAGGCCUUGGCUACCUUCUCCAUAAAGUAACGGCUGGAAGCGAUGAAAAAAAUUUAAUACAGUAAUUUUCCUCUUUGGCUCUUUUUCUAGACUCUCCUCAGCUCUCCAUACUUAUAGCAAAUGCACUUUAGUUAUUAUUUGAAGGGGACAGUCAAGUAAAAGUCCCGAGCAGUGCUGUAAAGUUGGUUUCCUGAGAUACAUUUUUUUUCUAAUAUGGAUUUUUUCCCUUGUGAUUUUCUAUAUUUAAAGGCCUCUAGUCUACACACACACACAACAAAACAAAAAACAAAAAACAAACAAACCCAAACCCUUCUGGUUUACAAGUAAAACUGAAGGAAAAAUACAUAUUAGUUUCUCUUUCACCAAAAUGCACAUCUCGACGGCACACACAUUCAGACGUUUACCUUGGAAUCUAAAGUACACAAGUCAAGCAACAGUUAACACCACCAAAUGCAGAGUCUACUCCAAAUGAGAAAUAGUCUUACUUUGCAGCUGCCCCAGCCCUCCACCCCCUUCACUCUCUGCUGCAUCCUGUGUCUUCUUGAAGUCAGAGUGUAAAGUGACUCUUCCAGAAAACUCCCCCCGGUAAACGUACCCUCCGCUUUACAAAAGCUCGUCCUAAGUCACUUCUAGCUCCUGCUAGUUCCCCACGUCACUCUCAGGCGCUGGGUCUCCACUGCCGGCUUGCACGGGAUCCAUGCCACGCCUGCUCUCCUGCUGUAGUCAGUCACAGGCUCCUGAAGGCACAGAGGUAGCUUAGCCGUCAGGACUUCACGUCCCCGCCGUGAGGGCCACUCCUCUUGCCCGUCUCUGCAGAGACGGCCGCCCUCCCCCCAACACGUGCUUCUUUUCUGGGUAGCAGAACCCCCAGAGGCAACCAGCUAGAACGACCCCACUCCUGAGCUUCGCCUGAAGAUGCAGGAAGAGAAGGAGGGGGCCAAUGGCAGUUGCUAGGUGGAGCUUCUGGGGUUGGCCUUCUCCUUCUCCCCUUUGUGCUGGGAAUGGGAAAGAGCAGAGGGUGUGGUGGCUCUACCUGUUGAUCCUAGGAUGGAAGGGCUUGGGAGGAGGAGGGCUGAGCUGGAGUUCAGGGCACCUCCUCCGCCCCAACACAGUUGUCUACUUCUGCGCAUCGGCUAAGGCUCCAUCAGAGAAGCACCAUCACGAGAUGCGCGUGUGUUCUGUUACAGAGACCGGACCUGAGCAAGUGCAGGACCGGGCUAAGCAGUGUCUAUAAGGCGGCUGCUGCUGGAGGCUGCGGGCAGUGGAGAGAGGAAGAUGGAGAUGAGGUAGAAGAGAACAAGGGGGACCCACAAGCAUAAUCUGAGUCCUCGGGGACAGACUGAACCCGCCUGAGGUCUCACUGCCUCUGAACUUACCGGUGUGAAGAUCCUUCAAAAACUGGGAGCCUGCCCCGUGAGUUAAGUGGAUGCGCCCGGCCCAGGCUUUGGCGAUGCUGGAGGAGGAUCCCCAGAAAGCUGGAGCGCCUGUGGGCCCAGGUGCUGGCUCGCCUCAUAGCUCCAGGUUCGGGGACUCCUCCUGUUCUGGGCACUCCACCCAGGUGAGUCACACGCUCAUCUUUCCCCCAUAGGUCCCACCACCAGAGCAGCAGCUCCCCAGGCUUCCUCCCCAUCUCUCCUAACUCACUAGCUUCCCAUCAACACAGGCCUGCUCUGUUUUCUCUUCCCUGGUAGAAGGUGGGCUGAAAAAUUCAUCGACAUGGACUCAUGAGAGCACACGGAUCACCCUGUGGGCAGCUCUGGGCCUGAACCCAAGCAAGGGGCCAGCUAGUGGAGGAAGUGUUAAAAAAAAAUUGUUCAGGCCAUACUGGUGAAAUUUGGAACCAUCUCGGUAUGUAUUUGCCAUUUACAAUGAGAAGGCAGCAGCUCACACCAGCACCAGUUGCCAGUUACAGGGUUAAUUCCCGGCAGGUGCUCAUCCCUGACCGAUGACCUCGGCAGGUGGGCAGUGGUUAUUUAUCAGCCUGUUUGGAGGUCUGAAUAUUGGGGAGGACUUUCUCUUUGUUUCCUUUAGGUUGUCCACUCUAGACAGACAUGUAGAAACAGUAAUAAAAUAGCAAUUAAGGACCUGCUGGAAACAAAGAAGGGAGCCUUGGGUUAAGGCAAUUGUCCUGUAAGGUGUGGACUGUAUUUCCUUUUCACAGAUGACGGUCAGAAAGGUGACGUGGCCGAAGAUCAACCCAGCAGCAACUUAUAAGGCUCAGGCCAGCUUCAGGUCAGGCCUGUCUGGCUGCCUAAUCCCACUUACAGAGAAGAGUUUCUCAGACUUCCAAUGCCAGCUCCGCAGCAGCUGGCAUUUGUAGUGUCUCAUGUUAUAAGGGACACAGGAUUGGCCCUAUGUUGACGAUUGCUGAAGCAAUGACACCUACUCCUACUUGGGGAGCGUCAUUAUACAUAUCUCUCUGCUUUUUGUAUAUUUGACCUUUUUCAUACCAAGCAGAGGCUUAUGGGCAUGUUCCUGUUCCAGAAAGACACCCCACGGAUACAAACGGCCCAUUCCUAGCCAGCCUACACACACACACACACACACACACACACACACACACACACACAGUCUUAAAAACAUCUUCCAGCAGGAGCAGGACACAGAUGAAUUUGCCCUCAAGGUAUAAAACAGAAGUCUAGAGAUCUCAGUGUCCCCAACACGUAUCUUAGAAGCAACUGUGCCCUGUUUCCACACAUGAAUCACAGCAUUCAGCUGCACUCACCGUCCUGGUUCCUUUUCAUUUGCUCAAGCCCAGCCAAACCAAACCCAGGAUCAUCAGCAGAGGGACUGCAAAUGUUUGCACACUGUGAGCAAAUUAGGAGAAAGCCCUCAAUUUAGACGUGAACGAUUGUGCGUGGAUAUAAAUAAACGUUGUUCUCAGCGCAGGUUCUGUCAACAGCUCGGCGCCCCACACGGACUCAUCCAAAGGCAAAAGAGCAAGCGUUACUCAUACCUGGUGAGCUCCAAAAACCACCUGGUGUGGCACACGCUGUACUUGGCCGAGCCCGUCUGUGAAACCAGCUGCUGGAAUACAAAGCCGUGGCAAAGACACAGCCGGCUCUGAAAGAGGCUGUUUUCAGGCAGCCCCGAGGGCAAGACGGUCUUUCUCUGUUUUUGCUCCACUUGCCAGACCCUGGCAGUGGCCACUCCAGGAGUCUCACGAUUUUUUUCCCUCCACUUUCCCCAUUUUUUAAAAUUAAGUGAGACAUAAUACUUAUUGUAUGAUGUAUAUAUUUUCAAUAUAGAGAAUGAAAAAGAUUAUAAAUUGCUUUAAUUCUGUCAACCACAGGUAAUGGCUGUUAAUGCUGAACACACGCUUCUAGAAGUUUUAAGGCAUAUAUAAAAACUUCAACGUUAAAACAGGAACAUACUGUAGGUAGCUGGCUUUGUUCAUUCAAAUACAGACUAGGAACAUUUUAAUGCCUAUAAACAACCUUCCCAGCAAUAUUUACAAGGUCUGUGCAGAUGGACAGAAAGCAAUUUACUCAGUCAAGACACAGUGGAUGUGUACCAAGAAUUAUUACUAAACAUUUAGGUUGUUUUCAAACUUUGCUUCUAAAACUGAGAUUUGGGUAAAUAUUUUACUAAAUCAUUAUUUCUACAAAUUUAUUAUUAUUCCCUUGGGAUACAUUUCUAGAAGUAGACUGCCCAGAUAGGAACUUUGUUUGUCUUUUCUAGGGCCGCCUCCCGUGGCAUGUGGAGGUUCCCAGGCUAGGGGUCUAAUUGGAGCUGUAACCACUGGCCUACGCCAGAGCCACAGCAAGGUGAGAUCCGAGCCGCGUCUGCAACCUACACCACAGCUCAUGGCAAGACCGGAUCCUUAACCCACUGAGCGAGGCCAAGGAUCGAACCCGCAACCUCAUGGUUCCUAGUCGGAUUCGUUAACCACUGCGCCACGACGGGAACUCCCCAGGAACUUUUUGAGACAUUUAUUUUUUUAUUUUUACUUUUUUGAUUUUUAGGGCUGCACCUGCAGCAUACGGAGGUUCCCAGGCUAGGGGUCAAAACUGAGCUGUAG
ensembl:lncRNA